rfam:Oikopleura dioica, whole genome shotgun assembly, reference scaffold set, scaffold scaffold_801
GUUAGUUACGGCGACAUGGUGCCGAAGACAGUUCCUGGGAAGAUUUUCGGUUCCGUUUGUUCACUCUCUGGCGUGUUAGUGAUCGCACUGCCGGUCCCUGUCAUCGUGUCUAAC